AGGGAUGUAUUUAUUAGAUUAAAAACCAAUGCCCUCUGGGCUCUCUGGUGAUUCAUGAUAACUUCUCGAAUCGCAUGGCCUUGCGCCGGCGAUGGUUCAUUCAAAUUUCUUCCCUAUCAACUUUCGAUGUUUGGGUAGUGGCCAAACAUGGUUGCAACGGGUAACGGAGGGUUAGGGCUCGACCCCGGAGAAGGAGCCUGAGAAACGGCUACUACAUCCAAGGAAGGCAGCAGGCGCGCAAAUUACCCAAUCCCGACACGGGGAGGUAGUGACAAUAAAUACUGAUACAGGGCUCUUUUGGGUCUUGUAAUUGGAAUGAGUACAAUUUAAAUCCCUUAACGAGGAACAAUUGGAGGGCAAGUCUGGUGCCAGCAGCCGCGGUAAUUCCAGCUCCAAUAGCGUAUAUUAAAGUUGUUGUGGUUAAAAAGCUCGUAGUUGAACCUUGGGCCUGGCUGGCCGGUCCGCCUCACCGCGUGCACUGGUCCGGCCGGGCCUUUCCCUCUGUGGAACCCCAUGCCCUUCACUGGGUGUGGCGGGGAACCAGGACUUUUACA
rnacentral:rRNA from 1 species